CCACACCGGGCCCCCAGGACGCCAGAGAGACAGGCCUCCAAGGACGAACAGGAGGGGGUCCGUCACUCAGUGGAACCAGCGGCCCUGGCAGCUGUUUCCGCAGAUCAGGGAUGGCGUCUCCCCGGCCAGGGGUCUCAGGGCCACACUCGCACCCCUUCCAUCUGCCUCCCACAUGUGCAGGGGCCCCAGUUUUGGGACAGAUGAAAUGUAAGGAACAGAGACGUUGACAGGCGCCCAGGCAUUCGGACAUCAGCUGGGUUGUGUGGAUCCAGGUCAUUGAGAUUCGGUGUUUCACCAACAGUGACUGGGCUGGAUUAUAAACUUGCCUGCUUCUGGGGCGGCGGGGCUGGUUUGAUGGCAGGGAGAGCUUCCCAGGAGAAUGUUGGGGCACCGCCCUCAAAGGCGAGGCUCCCUCACUGUGCAUCUCGCGCUCUGGAAAGGAGCGACGGAGGCCUCGGACGCCAGUUCUCUCCCCUGCCCGUCCCUCCUCUCCGGUCACUCAGAGGGAGGGACGAACCUCCACCCCAGCAAGAGCUUUUCUCUCGCCUGCUCGUGACAUCCUCAGGCCGUGGGACAUCAAGCCGGGAGGGUGAAGGUGGUACUUAUUGUCUGCCUCCAGGGGAGACAGGACACGCCGGCGCCCGCGUCCUCCGACGCCCCCAAGCCGUGGGCUCACUAGGCUAACGAACGGCCAGUCGGUCGGCAACCGGGUUCUCCCCGCAAAAUACAGAAGCUCAUUCCUGACGGAUUAGUCAAGUGUGGGGCUGCUGCUCUCUGCCGUUUAGCAGCGGAAGGAGCAAAAGGCCUUGCUUAAGUCUUUCGCCAGUUUCUACGGAAGGCUGAUCUCUCAGCGCUCCUCUCUCUGAAAGGAAGUGCGAAGGUCUCACAAAAGCCCCUCACUGCAAUCCCCAAACUGGCACGAAGACUCUUAAUGGCCGGGGAAACGAGAGUUUGCGAAUCUUUGAGACGUGUUUGCUAACUACAUUAAACACACACACACACACACACACACACACACACACAUCUUUUUUGGAAUCUUAAGAAACAUAAAACUGGCUGUUCUUCA